rnacentral:misc_RNA from 1 species
ACAAACUUGGUCAUUUAGAGGAAGUAAAAGUCGUAACAAGGUCUCCGUUGGUGAACCAGCGGAGGGAUCAUUACCGAGUUAUUACAACUCCCCAACCCCUGUGAACAUACCUAUCGUUGCCUCGGCGGAACGCCCCGGCGCCCUCGCGGCCCGGACCCAGGCGCCCGCCGGAGGACCACCAAACUCUUGUAUUAUUUACGAAUCUUCUGAGUAAAACAAAAAAAUAAAUCAAAACUUUCAACAACGGAUCUCUUGGCUCUGGCAUCGAUGAAGAACGCAGC